rfam:Brachypodium distachyon strain Bd21 chromosome 3, whole genome shotgun sequence.
AUAGUACUCCCUUCAUCCAACAAAAAGUGUCUCAAGUUUGUCAAAAUUUGGAUGUAUCUAAACAUGACUUAGUAUAUAGAUGCAUUCAAAUUUGGUAAAAGUCGAGACAUCUUUUGUUGGACGGAGAGAGUAUUAA